CAUGCCGUAAACGAUGUCUACUAGCCGUUGGGGUCUUUGAGACUUUAGUGGCGCAGCUAACGCGAUAAGUAGACCGCCUGGGGAGUACGGUCGCAAGACUAAAACUCAAAUGAAUUGACG
rnacentral:rRNA from 1 species